UACGUAGGGUGCAAGCGUUGUCCGGAAUUAUUGGGCGUAAAGAGCUCGUAGGCGGUCUGUCACGUCGGAUGUGAAAACUCGGGGCUCAACCCCGAGCCUGCAUACGAUACGGGCAGACUUGAGUUCGGCAGGGGAGACUGGAAUUCCUGGUGUAGCGGUGAAAUGCGUUGAGAUCGGAAGGAACGCCUGCGGCGAAAGCGAGGUCCUGGACUCUGACUGACGUUGAGGCGCGAAAGCCAGGGGAGCGAACGGG
rnacentral:rRNA from 1 species